rnacentral:rRNA from 1 species
AGCGAACGCUGGCGGCAGGCCUAACACAUGCAAGUCGAACGAAGUCUUCGGACUUAGUGGCGGACGGGUGAGUAACACGUGGGAACGUGCCUUUAGGUUCGGAAUAACUCAGGGAAACUUGUGCUAAUACCGAAUGUGCCCUUCGGGGGAAAGAUUUAUCGCCUUUAGAGCGGCCCGCGUCUGAUUAGCUAGUUGGUGAGGUAAAGGCUCACCAAGGCUACGAUCAGUAGCCGGUCUGAGAGGAUGACCAGCCACAUUGGGACUGAGACACGGCCCAAACUCCUACUGGAGGCAGCAGUGGGGAAUCUUGCGCAAUGGGCGAAAGCCUGACGCAGCCAUGCCGCGUGAAUGAUGAAGGUCUUAGGAUUGUAAAAUUCUUUCACCGGGGACGAUAAUGACGGUACCCGGAGAAGAAGCCCCGGCUAACUUCGUGCCAGCCGCCGCAGUAAUAC